rnacentral:rRNA from 1 species
GGGAGUGAGAAUGGUAUUCAUGACACGCACAUGCACGUCGGAUGCGACCCCAUCGGCGAUUGCACCUUUCAAGCGAGUGGCGAACGGGUGAGUAACACGUGGAUAACCUGCCUCAAGGCUGGGGAUAACAUUUGGAAACAGAUGCUAAUACCGAAUAAAACUUAGUAUCGCAUGAUAUCAAGUUAAAAGGCGCUACGGCGUCACCUAGAGAUGGAUCCGCGGUGCAUUAGUUAGUUGGUGGGGUAAAGGCUUACCAAGACGAUGAUGCAUAGCCGAGUUGAGAGACUGAUCGGCCACAUUGGGACUGAGACACGGCCCAAACUCCUACGGGAGGCUGCAGUAGGGAAUCUUCCACAAUGGGCGCAAGCCUGAUGGAGCAACGCCGCGUGUGUGAUGAAGGCUUUCGGGUCGUAAAGCACUGUUGUAUGGGAAGAAAUGCUAAAAUAGGGAAUGAUUUUAGUUUGACGGUACCAUACCAGAAAGGGACGGCUAAAUACGUGCCAGCAGCCGCGGUAAUACGUAUGUCCCGAGCGUUAUCCGGAUUUAUUGGGCGUAAAGCGAGCGCAGACGGUUGAUUAAGUCUGAUGUGAAAGCCCGGAGCUCAACUCCGGAAUGGCAUUGGAAACUGGUUAACUUGAGUGUUGUAGAGGUAAGUGGAACUCCAUGUGUAGCGGUGGAAUGCGUAGAUAUAUGGAAGAACACCAGUGGCGAAGGCGGCUUACUGGACAACAACUGACGUUGAGGCUCGAAAGUGUGGGUAGCAAACAGGAUUAGAUACCCUGGUAGUCCACACCGUAAACGAUGAAUACUAGGUGUUAGGAGGUUUCCGCCUCUUAGUGCCGAAGCUAACGCAUUAAGUAUUCCGCCUGGGGAGUACGACCGCAAGGUUGAAACUCAAAGGAAUUGACGGGGACCCGCACAAGCGGUGGAGCAUGUGGUUUAAUUCGAAGCAACGCGAAGAACCUUACCAGGUCUUGACAUCCUUUGAAGCUUUUAGAGAUAGAAGUGUUCUCUUCGGAGACAAAGUGACAGGUGGUGCAUGGUCGUCGUCAGCUCGUGUCGUGAGAUGUUGGGUUAAGUCCCGCAACGAGCGCAACCCUUAUUGUUAGUUGCCAGCAUUCAGUUGGGCACUCUAGCGAGACUGCCGGUGACAAACCGGAGGAAGGCGGGGACGACGUCAGAUCAUCAUGCCCCUUAUGACCUGGGCUACACACGUGCUACAAUGGCGUAUACAACGAGUUGCCAACCUGCGAAGGUGAGCUAAUCUCUUAAAGUACGUCUCAGUUCGGACUGCAGUCUGCAACUCGACUGCACGAAGUCGGAAUCGCUAGUAAUCGCGGAUCAGCACGCCGCGGUGAAUACGUUCCCGGGUCUUGUACACACCGCCCGUCACACCAUGGGAGUUUGUAAUGCCCAAAGCCGGUGGCCUAACCUUCGGGAGGGAGCCGUCUAAGGCAGACAGAUGGU